GACGAACGCUGGCGGCGCGCCUAACACAUGCAAGUCGAACGGAGCUGCGAGAAGCUUGCUUUUCUUAGCUUAGUGGCGAACGGGUGAGUAACGCGUGAGUAACCUGCCCUGGAGUGUGGGACAACAGUUGGAAACGACUGCUAAUACCGCAUAAGCCCACGAUCCGGCAUCGGAUUUAGGGAAAAGGAGUUAUUCGCUUCAGGAUGGACUCGCGCCCAAUUAGCUAGUUGGUGAGGUAAGGGCCCACCAACGCGACGAUUGGUACCCGGACUGAGAGGUUGAGCGGCCACAUUGAGACUGAGACACGGUCCAGACUCCUACGGGAGGCAGCAGUGGGGGAUAGUGCACAACGGGGGAAACGCUGAUGCAGCGACGCCGCGUGGAGGAAGAAGGUAGGCGGAUUGUAAACUCCAGGCGUUAGGGACGAUAAUGACGGUACCUAACAAGAAAGCACCGGCUAACUACGUG
rnacentral:rRNA from 1 species